rnacentral:rRNA from 1 species
UACAGAGGGUGCGAGCGUUGUCCGGAAUCACUGGGCGUAAAGGGCGCGUAGGCGGUCUGCUAAGCGUGCGGUGAAAGCCCGGGGCUCAACCCCGGGUCGGCCGUGCGAACUGGUGGACUGGAGCUUGUCAGAGGCAGGCGGAAUUCCGGGUGUAGCGGUGGAAUGCGUAGAGAUCCGGAAGAACACCGGUGGCGAAGGCGGCCUGCUGGGCAGUGGCUGACACUGAGGCGCGACAGCGUGGGGAGCAAACAGG